rnacentral:rRNA from 1 species
UGAGUAGCGCGUGGGAACCUGCCCUGUUGUGGGGGAUAACCGAGGGAAACCUCGGCUAAUACCGCAUAAGCCGGGUGUCUUGGGAGAGGCAUUCGGGAAAGAUUUAUCGCGACAGGAGGGGCCCGCGUCGGAUUAGCUUGUUGGUGGGGUAACGGCCUACCAAGGCGAUGAUCCGUAGCUGGUCUGAGAGGAUGAUCAGCCACACUGGGACUGAGACACGGCCCAG